GAAUCCUCAUCGCAUGAGAACCUGCAAACAAAACUAUUUCAGGGUAGAUUGUGUGUAUUGUGUACUGGAAUAUGAGAUUGUGUCCAUUUAUAAGGUUCUCAUUGGAAUACCACCCAGGAUUUAGACUUCAGAGUAAACAUAAACUUGAUAUAAUAUGCUUUUAAAAAACCUUUGCAACUAAAUUAUGUCAUAUUAGGAAAGAUUUGAUCAAAUUUUGUCCAAAUUGUAUUUUCCUUCUCUUAUGGUGUCAUAGUUAUCCAUUGGAAGGGAAUACCAAUGCAAUACAAAAUAAAUUUGGUAAAAAUUUACUUGACAUGAUAAGAU